CAGCCGCCGCGGGGAUACGUAGGGGGCAAGCGUUAUCCGGAAUAACUGGGCGUAAAGCGCGCGCAGGUGGUUUAAUAAGUCUGACGUGAAAGCCCACGGCUCAACCGUGGAGGGUCAUUGGAAACUGUUAAACUUGAGUGCAGGAGGGAAAAGUGGAAUUCCUAGUGUAGCGGUGAAAUGCGUAGAGAUUAGGAGGAACACCAGUGGCGAAGGCGGCUUUUUGGCCUGUAACUGACACUGAGGCGCGAAAGCGUGGGGAGCAAACAGGAUUAGAUACCCCAGUAGUCCCUGUCUCUUAUAC
rnacentral:rRNA from 1 species